ensembl:lncRNA
GGGGGGGGGUCUGAGGAUGGACCCCCCCCCUAUUUUCAGGCCUUGGCUGUGGGAAGUUGGCUCCGUCCCCGCUGCCAUCCCAGGGCUGGGAUCGAGGCCUGUGCUGGGCGCUGGGGGUGGGGGUGAGGGGGGUGCAGAGCAGCGCUUUCCCCUCUCCUCACCUCCUCUCCUUCCGUUUCAUUUUCGUUUAUUUAUAUUCUUUUCCUUCCCCCCCCCCCCCUCCUUUCUCUCUCCCCCAUCGAUUGGAGCUGCCAUUAAACAAAUCACGGCCUCAGACCCCUUUGUGAUAGCAGAUCUGUGAGGGCAGAAAGCGAAGGCUGUAAUUCAUCCCGCAGAGUUUAGAUGCUCUCUGCCUUCAGGCUGUCCCCCGGAGCUCCCAGCCACGUAAGUAAGGAAUAAACAGCAGGAAUAAUAAUCAUUCAUUAAUAAUAAUAAUGAUAAUUAUUAUAAGGAUCGGAACACGUAAAAUAACGUCACCUGAACCCUUUCUCCUCAUCCCCCCCCCCCCCCCC